GCCUGCCCAGUGACCCUGUUUAACGGCCGCGGUAUCCUAACCGUGCGAAGGUAGCGUAAUCACUUGUUCUCUAAAUGCGGACUAGUAUGAACGGCAUCACGAGGGUUAUACUGUCUCCCUUUUCUAAUCAGUGAAACUAAUCCCCCCGUGAAGAGGCGGGGAUAAAACUAUAAGACGAGAAGACCCUAUGGAGCUUUAAACAAUGUAGCACUUGCCUUUUGACAUAAAAUUUCCGAAUCUCACUCCAAAGCGAUAUGACUAUAAGUUUUUGGUUGGGGUGACCACGGAGCAAAAUUUAACCUCCAUGUUGAAAGAAUUUAAGCUAAGAAUCACUCUUCUAAGCAUCAACAUAUUGACAUCAAUUGACCCAAUACAUUUGAACAACGAACCAAGUUACCCUAGGGAUAACAGCGCA
rnacentral:rRNA from 1 species